rnacentral:rRNA from 1 species
CGCAUCUGUGCAUGCAGCAUAUCAAUAGCGGAGGAAAAGAAACUAACAGGGAUUCCCCUAGUAACGGCGAGUGAAGCGGGAAGAGCUCAAAUUUGAAAUCUUAAAGGGUUUCCCUUUACGAAUUGUAGUUUAAAGAAGUGUUUUCUGUUGAGGUUUUGGUAAAAGUUCUUUGGAAUAGGACAUCAUAGAGGGUGAGAAUCCCGUAUUUGACCUUUACUUUCAACUUUGUGAUACACUUUCAAAGAGUCGGAUUGUUUGGGAAUGCAGUCCAAAAUGGGUGGUAAAUUUCAUCUAAAGCUAAAUAUUGGCGAGAGACCGAUAGCGAACAAGUACCGUGAGGGAAAGAUGAAAAGAACUUUGAAAAGAGAGUUAAACAGUACGUGAAAUUGUCAAAAGGGAAGCGUUUGACACCAGUGUUGUUUUUCUGAAAAUCAAUUAAAGAACUGUUUAUGCUAAGUUGUUUAGACUUUAUCAGCUAUCUGUUUAGUUUUGAGCUUUUCUUUAAUGCACUUUUCAGUUAACAAGUCAACAUCAAUUUCUUUUGCUGUAAAAAAGCUUGAGGAAGGUGGCUUGAGAUUCGUCUUAAGUGUUUAUAGCCUCUUGCCUAUGCAGUCGGAGAGAUUGAGGUCUGCAGCGUAGAUCCUUCGGGGCUAAAUGCAUUUGUGCUAAGUUAUAGCAUUUUAUAGACAACUUGUUGACUAUGAUUUGUCUUGUAGCUUACUCGCUUAUGUUAUUUUACCUACGCUUAGGAUGUUGAGUCGUAGAGCACGCAG